rnacentral:misc_RNA from 1 species
UACGUAGGGGGCAAGCGUUAUCCGGAUUUAUUGGGCGUAAAGAGCUCGUAGGCGGCCGAUCGCGUCGGAUGUGAAAGCUCGGGGCUUAACCCUGAGAGGCCAUUCGAUACGGAUCGGCUAGAGGUAGGUAGGGGAAAGUGGAAUUCCUGGUGUAGCGGUGAAAUGCGCAGAUAUCAGGAGGAACACCGGUGGCGAAGGCGGCUUUCUGGGCCUUACCUGACGCUGAGGAGCGAAAGCUGGGGGAGCAAACAGG